UACGGAGGGGGCUAGCGUUGUUCGGAAUUACUGGGCGUAAAGGGCGCGUAGGCGGCCUGCUAAGUCGGAUGUGAAACCCCUCGGCUCAACCGAGGAACUGCAUCCGAUACUGGCGGGCUUGAAUCCGGGAGAGGGAUGCGGAAUUCCAGGUGUAGCGGUGAAAUGCGUAGAUAUCUGGAGGAACACCGGUGGCGAAGGCGGCAUCCUGGACCGGCAUUGACGCUGAGGAGCGAAAGCCAGGGGAGCAAACGGG
rnacentral:rRNA from 1 species